rnacentral:lncRNA from 10 species
CUCUUGCCUUCUGCCAUGUAAGAUAUGACUGUGCUCCUCCUUCACCUUCUGCCAUGAUUGUGAGGCCUCCACAGCCAUGUGGAACUGGAAGCUGUUUUUCCCUCUUUGGGGUCUCAGAGAGAUUGGUGGCAAGGACUCCUGGGAAGAGAAAAGCUGAAGGACACUCUGGCAAGAGGUACCACCUCUCACUGGCUGCCCAAGCAAGAUUCUAUGGCUUGGAAUAAUUCUCAGCGACUCACUCAUCAAAGGGCAUCUAUCUAGAAGCCCUGCUCCUUCAGGGACAUCUGAGGUUGAUGAGCUGAUCCAAUAAGCCAUCAGAGCUGGAAUAGUAGUAGUUAACAAUGGCUCUCUGCACUCUUUUUAAAUAACUUUGCUUUUCAGGCCAAGGUGAGAGCCUCGUGGGAAUUUCACAAAUUUUAUAGAAGCAGAGGAGUGCUAUUUGAGCAAGGGGCGGAUAACACCUACAAUCCACUCAGGAUUUCCAAGCAUAGCCGGAUGCAGAAGUACUCAUACUUCACUACAGAAUCACCUGGGGAGCUUUUAACCUUCUGAUUCUAGUGUUUCCCUCUGGCAGAUGGAGACAGAAACUUGACUGGGCUCAGGAAUAUGUGUUUUUAAAAUUCUCCAGAAGAUUUUAAUGCAGUACAAGUAAGAAGACAGGACUGCAAUUCACAAGAACAGUAUAUCCUGGUGAUUCCUCAGAACAGAACAGACUCAAAAAAAAAAAAAAAAGAAGAAGACAAAAACAAAGAUAACAUGAAACCAGAUUCCACAACCAUGUUUCAAGUGACCUAUGUAGGGGGCAGACCCCAUCUAGCUGCUUCUUGAUGAGCCUGGCAUGGAGUGUUUGAUCCAAAUCUUGACAGCACAUUGGUGGCUGUUGUCACUGUGUGGCAGGACUUGCAGUUGAGCUUCUUGUGCCUUGGACUUCUUGUGACUUGGACCUCAGCCUCCAUUGAAGACCGUAACACAAGUCCCAACUUACAAACAAAUGAGGGAAUGAAUGAGCUUUGGCAUUGGAAAAACCUGGGUUCAAAUCCUGGCUACUCUACUUCCUGUGUCAGUUGCUUCACUUUUCUAAAUAUAAAUUGUGUUCCUUCUGUUUUGGCUUCUAGGAAACCCCGAGCCAAACGUAUGGCCACCUCUGACCACUCGACCAGCCCAGCAUGGUGUACAUUUCUGGGUAGCUUAUCACGCCUUCCAAGCAUUGCCUUUAUCUUCCUUCUCCCCAUCAAGCCUGUAUUGUUUUCCUUUUGAAUCAUAAGCACUUUUGUUAAAUACCUCAAAUCUUUCGAGAACAGCAAGGAGCAAAAUAAACUUAACUUCUCUGAGACCAUGU